GCUCAUUUUAUCUUGUUUUUUAUCAAUCACCUGUCAUGAAGAUAAGGAAUUCCAAGAAAACAACUGGCAUUAUUCAUGGAAGAAUAAUCUCAACGAAUUUAUUAACGAAUAAUUUCCUGAAACGUUAGACAACUUUUCUUGUUAUUCUUGUUUUAACUUUAAAUGGUUUUGUUAAAAAAAGCGAAAUUUUACAAUGCGUUCUUGGAAAUAUUGUUCUACAUUUGUUUAUUAUGUCUGAUAAAUGGUAAAUUAAUUGAGUCACAAAAACCAACAUCUGUGGCAUGCCACGGUUUUGGGAAAUUAUUGAACAAGACUGACACAACAUGUGAAUCAUACAUUUUGUGUAUUCCGAAUAGAAAUGAUGAUUAUACCAUAUGGAAUCUUAAGUGCGUACAUGGACUUAUUUUUCGUGAGUCUAUACAAAAGUGCGUUUCAAAGGCAACGUAUACAUGUAUGUCAGCUUCAUCUACCGAUGCAACCACACAAAUGUCAUCAACGACAAAAUCAUCAUCGAGUUCAACAAAGCAUUCAACGAUGAUUGAUUUUUUGACAACAACUAAAAAGACUCCAAUUGAGGCAUCAAGUGAAAAUAGUUUAGCUAAGAUUUUAAAAAUAUCUACCACACCAAAACCAGUUAAAUGAAUGAAAAAAACCCAGUCACCUCUUCUUUGAACAUGGUUCAAAGUCAAGAAAGAAAUAUAUAUUUUUGACGUUUGUAAUUAAGUAUGAAGUAUUGAAAAUUAAAAUUUUAUACUUGACCCCACUUCAUGUAAAAUAUAUAUCUAUAUCUAAUAUUGAAAUUUUAUUUUGGAAGAACCAGGUGGGGUCAAGUAUAAAAUUUUAAUUUUUAAUAGUUCAGAAUUUAUUACAUGCGUCAUAAAUAUAUAUUUUUUUCUCGACUUUUUAGUGUCUUAUCUGCAUUAAUGUACUAUUGUACAAAUGUCUUUAUUGUACAAAAAAAACUUUGUUUUUUUUUUUUUUUUUUUGUUGCGAUAUAACAUUUUUUUGUGAAGUCUUUUGAUCAUAUCGAAUUUAAUAAAUCCAGCCUCAAAAUUAUUGUUUUGUAGCUUUGACACACUCACACAUUUGUUUCGAGUUUGACACAUGCUUCUCAAAAAGUUGUUAUUAACGGAAUAAAAGAAUCUGGACUUAUACUUCAAAAUAUCAAGGAGAAAAGGAAGGAGGAAGAGAUACA